UGGGGAAUGGUGUAAUGGUAGCACAGCGGCCUUUGAAGCCGUUAGUUUAGGUUCGAAUCCUAGUUCCCCAG
rnacentral:tRNA from 1 species